rnacentral:rRNA from 1 species
CAGCCGCCGCGGUAAUACCGGCGGCCCGAGUGGCGGCCACUAUUAUUGGGCUUAAAGCGUCCGUAGCCGGGUUGGUUAGUCUCCCGGGAAAUCUGGCCGCUUAACGGUCAGAAUUCCGGGAGAUACUGCCAGCCUAGGGACCGGGAGAGGCCGAGGGUAUUCCCGGAGUAGGGGUGAAAUCCUAUAAUCCCGGGAGGACCACCUGUGGCGAAGGCGCUCGGCUGGAACGGGUCCGACGGUGAGGGACGAAGGCCAGGGGAGCAAACCGGAUUAGAUACCCGGGUAGUCCUGGCUGUAAAGGAUGCGGGCUAGGUGUCGGGUGAGCUUCGAGCUCGCCCGGUGCCGUAGGGAAGCCGUUAAGCCCGCCGCCUGGGGAGUACGGCCGCAAGGCUGAAACUUAAAGGAAUUGGCGGG